rnacentral:rRNA from 1 species
CUACGGGCUGCACCAGUCGAGAAUCUUCGGCAAUGGACGAAAGUCUGACCGAGCGACGCCGCGUGCGGGAAGAAGGCCCUCGGGUUGUAAACCGCUGUUAGGAGGUAGCAAUAAGCGAUAGUGUAUAUCGUGAUGAGUUAAACUCCAGAGAAAGUCACAGCUAAUUACGUGCCAGCAGCUGCGGUAAUACGUAAGUGGCGAACGUUACUCGGAAUCACUGGGCUUAAAGGGGGUGUAGGCGGACAGGUAAGUUGGUGUUGAAAUCCCUCGGCUUAACCGAGGAAUUGGCACCAAAACUAUUUGUCUUGAGGAUAGCAGGGGGGUGUGGAACUUCUGGUGGAGCGGUGAAAUGCGUAGAUAUCAGAAGGAACACCGGUGGCGAAGGCGAUGCCCUGGGCUAUUUCUGACGCUGAGGCCCGAAAGCGUGGGGAGCAAACAGGAUUAGAUACCCGGGUAGUC